rnacentral:piRNA from 1 species
UGACACCCACAUUAGCACAGCGGCCUGUC